rnacentral:rRNA from 1 species
GGGUUGUGAGGUUAAGCGACUAAGCGUACACGGUGGAUGCCCUGGCAGUCAGAGGCGAUGAAGGACGUGCUAAUCUGCGAAAAGCGCCGGCGAGGUGAUAUGAACCUUUGACCCGGCGAUGUCCGAAUGGGGAAACCCAGUGCAAUCCGUUGCACUAUCGUUAACUGAAUACAUAGGUUAACGAGGCGAACCGGGGGAACUGAAACAUCUAAGUACCCCGAGGAAAAGAAAUCAACCGAGAUUCCCCCAGUAGCGGCGAGCGAACGGGGAGCAGCCCGGAGUCUGAAUCAGCUUGUGUGUUAGUGGAACGGUCUGGAAAGUCCGACGGUACAGGGUGAUAGUCCCGUACACGAAAGCACACAUGCUGUGAACUCGAAGAGUAGGGCGGGACACGUGGUAUCCUGUCUGAAUAUGGGGGGACCAUCCUCCAAGGCUAAAUACUCCUGACUGACCGAUAGUGAACCAGUACCGUGAGGGAAAGGCGAAAAGAACCCCGGCGAGGGGAGUGAAAAAGAACCUGAAACCGUGUACGUACAAGCAGUGGGAGCCUCUUUAUGGGGUGACUGCGUACCUUUUGUAUAAUGGGUCAGCGACUUAUAUUCUGUAGCAAGGUUAACCGUAUAGGGGAGCCGAAGGGAAACCGAGUCUUAACUGGGCGUUAAGUUGCAGGGUAUAGACCCGAAACCCGGUGAUCUAGCCAUGGGCAGGUUGAAGGUUGGGUAACACUAACUGGAGGACCGAACCGACUAAUGUUGAAAAAUUAGCGGAUGACCUGUGGCUGGGGGUGAAAGGCCAAUCAAACCGGGAGAUAGCUGGUUCUCCCCGAAAGCUAUUUAGGUAGCGCCUCGUGAACUCAUCUUCGGGGGUAGAGCACUGUUUCGGCUAGGGGGCCAUCCCGGCUUACCAACCCGAUGCAAACUACGAAUACCGAAGAAUGUUAUCACGGGAGACACACGGCGGGUGCUAACGUCCGUCGUGAAGAGGGAAACAACCCAGACCGCCAGCUAAGGUCCCAAAGUCAUGGUUAAGUGGGAAACGAUGUGGGAAGGCACAGACAGCCAGGAUGUUGGCUUAGAAGCAGCCAUCAUUUAAAGAAAGCGUAAUAGCUCACUGGUCGAGUCGGCCUGCGCGGAAGAUGUAACGGGGCUAAACCAUGCACCGAAGCUGCGGCAGCGACACUAUGUGUUGUUGGGUAGGGGAGCGUUCUGUAAGCCGUUGAAGGUGUCCUGUGAGGGGUGCUGGAGGUAUCAGAAGUGCGAAUGCUGACAUAAGUAACGAUAAAGCGGGUGAAAAGCCCGCUCGCCGGAAGACCAAGGGUUCCUGUCCAACGUUAAUCGGGGCAGGGUGAGUCGACCCCUAAGGCGAGGCCGAAAGGCGUAGUCGAUGGGAAACAGGUUAAUAUUCCUGUACUUGGUGUUACUGCGAAGGGGGGACGGAGAAGGCUAUGUCAGCCGGGCGACGGUUGUCCCGGUUUAAGCAUGUAGGCGGAGGUUCCAGGUAAAUCCGGUACCUUAUUAACGCUGAGGUGUGAUGACGAGGCACUACGGUGCUGAAGUGAUAAAUGCCCUGCUUCCAGGAAAAGCCUCUAAGCAUCAGGUAACACGAAAUCGUACCCCAAACCGACACAGGUGGUCAGGUAGAGAAUACCAAGGCGCUUGAGAGAACUCGGGUGAAGGAACUAGGCAAAAUGGUGCCGUAACUUCGGGAGAAGGCACGCUGAUGUGUAGGUGAAGUCCCUGCGGACGGAGCUGAAAUCAGUCGAAGAUACCAGCUGGCUGCAACUGUUUAUUAAAAACACAGCACUGUGCAAACACGAAAGUGGACGUAUACGGUGUGACGCCUGCCCGGUGCCGGAAGGUUAAUUGAUGGGGUUAGCGGCAACGCGAAGCUCUUGAUCGAAGCCCCGGUAAACGGCGGCCGUAACUAUAACGGUCCUAAGGUAGCGAAAUUCCUUGUCGGGUAAGUUCCGACCUGCACGAAUGGCGUAAUGAUGGCCAGGCUGUCUCCACCCGAGACUCAGUGAAAUUGAACUCGCUGUGAAGAUGCAGUGUACCCGCGGCAAGACGGAAAGACCCCGUGAACCUUUACUAUAGCUUGACACUGAACACUGGUCCUUGAUGUGUAGGAUAGGUGGGAGGCUUUGAAGCGUGGACGCCAGUCUGCGUGGAGCCAACCUUGAAAUACCACCCUUUAAUGGCUGGUGUUCUAACGUAGACCCGUAAUCCGGGUUGCGGACAGUGUCUGGUGGGUAGUUUGACUGGGGCGGUCUCCUCCCAAAGAGUAACGGAGGAGCACGAAGGUUGGCUAAUCCUGGUCGGACAUCAGGAGGUUAGUGCAAUGGCAUAAGCCAGCUUGACUGCGAGCGUGACGGCGCGAGCAGGUGCGAAAGCAGGUCAUAGUGAUCCGGUGGUUCUGAAUGGAAGGGCCAUCGCUCAACGGAUAAAAGGUACUCCGGGGAUAACAGGCUGAUACCGCCCAAGAGUUCAUAUCGACGGCGGUGUUUGGCACCUCGAUGUCGGCUCAUCACAUCCUGGGGCUGAAGUAGGUCCCAAGGGUAUGGCUGUUCGCCAUUUAAAGUGGUACGCGAGCUGGGUUUAGAACGUCGUGAGACAGUUCGGUCCCUAUCUGCCGUGGGCGCUGGAGAAUUGAGGGGGGCUGCUCCUAGUACGAGAGGACCGGAGUGGACGCAUCACUGGUGUUCGGGUUGUCAUGCCAAUGGCACUGCCCGGUAGCUAAAUGCGGAAGAGAUAAGUGCUGAAAGCAUCUAAGCACGAAACUUGCCCCGAGAUGAGUUCUCCCUGAGACUUUAAGUCUCCUGAAGGAACGUUGAAGACGACGACGUUGAUAGGUCGGGUGUGUAAGCGCAGCGAUGCGUUGAGCUAACCGAUACUAAUGAACCGUGAGGCUUAACCUUACAACGCCGAAGCUGUU